rnacentral:rRNA from 1 species
CAAACGGGUGCGGAACACGUACGCAACCUUCCUUUAAGUGGUGAAUAGCUUUCGGAAACGAAAAUUAAUACACCGUAACAUUAUGAAGUGGCAUCAUUUUAUAAUUAUAGCUCCGGCGCUUAAAGAUGGGCGUGCGUCUGAUUAGGUAGUUGGCGGGGUAACGGCCCACCAAGCCUGCGAUCAGUAACUGGUGUGAGAGCACGACCAGUCACACGGGCACUGAGACACGGGCCCG